UACGGAGGGUGCAAGCGUUGUCCGGAAUCAUUGGGCGUAAAGCGCGCGUAGGUGGUCAUGUAAGUCCGCUGUGAAAGUCAAAGGCUCAACCUUUGAAAGCCGGUGGAUACUGCAUGACUAGAGUACGGAAGAGGCGAGUGGAAUUCCUGGUGUAGCGGUGGAAUGCGCAGAUAUCAGGAGGAACACCAAUAGCGAAGGCAGCUCGCUGGGACGUUACUGACACUGAGGCGCGAAAGCGUGGGGAGCGAACAGG
rnacentral:rRNA from 1 species